GACGAACGCUGGCGGUGUGCCUCACACAUGCAAGUCGAGCGGAUGUUUAUUAGAAGCUUGCUUUUGAUAAACGUUAGCGGCGGACGGGUGAGUAAUACGUAGGAAUCUGCCUCAAGGAGGGGGACAACGGGUCGAAAGAUCCGCUAAUACCCACUAUGCGAGCAAUCGUGAAAGGAGUAAUCCACCUAGAGAUGAGCCUGCGUCCGAUUAGCUAGUUGGCGGGGUAAAAGCCCACCAAGGCGACGAUCGGUAGUUGGUCUGAGAGGAUGAUCAGCCACGAUGGGACUGAGACACGGCCCAUACUCCUACGGGAGGCAGCAGUGGGGAAUAUUGGACAAUGGGCGAAAGCCUGAUCCAGCAAUGCCGCGUGAGUGAUGAAGGCCUUAGGGUUGUAAAGCUCUUUUACCAGGGAUGAUAAUGACAGUACCUGGAGAAUAAGCUCCGGCUAACUCCGUGCCAGCAGCCGCGGUAAAGUCUAGCA
rnacentral:rRNA from 1 species